CUCUCUCUCUCUCUCACAUCUCUGUGUGUGUCCUCCCCCACCCUGUGUGUGUAUGCGUGUGUAUAUGAAGGGAAAGCUAUAAAUAUGUUCACAUGUAUGUGGAAGCCGGAGGUCAACCUGGGUAUCAUUCAUCAGGAGCUGUCCACCUUGUUUUUGAGGCAGGGUCUCUCACUGGCCUGGGACUCUCUAUUAGGCAAGGCUAGUUGAAUGAGAUCUUGCUGCCUCCACCCCUCCAGUGCUGUAGUUAAAUGUCACCAUUCCAGGCUUUUAGGGUGGUUUGGGGGAAGAAACUAGGGUCCUCAUGACUGUGAGGUGAGUACUUCACCAAUAGAGUUGUCUCUAAAAUUCUAAGUUCUAUUUUCAACUCUAACAGUUAUCUGUAGAAUUUCCCUUGACACUUAUUUUUAAGUGAAACUUUGUAGCAUUGGUUUGUGGUUGAAUCUUUGUAGCAUUGGUUUGUGGUUGACCUGCACAGUGUCUUACCCGCAAAAUGACAGCUUUGCUUUAAUUCUGAUUCUGCAGGUAACAUUGACUAGGUGAAAUAGGUAUUGUACUUUCUGGGUGGGACGUUUCAUCAGUUUAAGGAAGGUCCCCUUUAUCUCUAACUUGCACAUCAUUUUCUUUGUCCUCAAAGGAUGAGAACCUUACUGUGUGGCUUUCUGUACACUGGAACCCCCUUUUACUUGGUAUGGUGAAAUACUAACCUUAAAUGUGGAUGAUCCUCAUCCUACUGAGGCACAUGGCACUAAGGAACUAUACUGAUACUUGGACCUGUGAGAAUUUUCUUCUUGGGCAUCUUGAAGUCUUCCUGUUUUCUAUUUGCUUCUGCAGGAAGAAUUUUCAAACCUGCUCCUCCAUCAAGGGAAGACUCAGUCCCAGAGGUGAAGCAGCUUGGUUACAUUCUCUCUGUCACAGAAAUAAAACAUCUGGGAUGGAAAUCAAAAAAUCAUCUAUCCUCUUCCUUCUUCCAAAUCCCAAGUCAUUCAAACCAGUUUCUUCAGGCCAUGAAUCUUUUAACUUCCAGAGUAAAUCCUCAUUAAUGACAGAGGAAGAAGACCUGGUUGAACAAGAUAUUAUUCCCUUGCUUUCUUUCUUCAUCUAAGACAGAUCUUUGUCUUAAACGCUGGAGAAAGGCUUUUCCCAAGGAACAAGCCUUACCUAUCUCAGCUUCCUAGGCUGUAGGUCUGUGGGGACCGUGUACACUUCCCAUCUUCUACAGUAGGUGGCACAUGCCAUCUCCAGCUGUGGUUCAGGUCCUUUAAGUGUGUGCUCAAAGAGACACUGCUUUCCAGUGGCCAGAUUCCUCAAGGUACCUCUCUGUUGACUUGGACAGGGACUUAAUUACAGUAAACUAAUCGACUGACUGAUUUUCAGGUUAAAAUUUUUGGGGAUGAAGUUGUCUUUGGCCAAGUGUUGGCGGCAAAUACCUUUUAGCUCAGCACUUGGGAGCAGAGGCAAGUGAAUCUCCGAGUUCGAGCUGGUAGAACUGAUCUAUAGAGUGAGUUCCAGGACAGCUACAGAGAGAAACCCUGACUCAACCAACCAACCAACCAACCAACCAACCAACCAACCACAGUGUCAUAGACCAAACCCAACCACCUGCUCCAGUGAAGCCCAGAGAAAUCCUCUAGACACAGUGAGCUUUGAGGGAAGUGGCAAGAUGGACUUACAGAAAUAUCCAAGGAUUAUAGUUUUUUUUCUUGAGGGCCUUAAAUUGUUAUGAAGCUGAGAAUGACCUUGAACUUCUGACCCUCCAGUCUUCACUUCCCAAGUGUCGGGUUAGACGUGUGCUAAUAUACCAUGUUUACAGUGUGCUGCAGAUGAAACCCAGGGGUUUGUGCAGCUAGGCAAGCACCCUUUAUAGUAUGCAUGUCAGCCCAUCUGGACUCCCUGAAUACUUGCUCCCAUUUGAAAAAAUCUCCAGCCUGCUGAGGCUGGUCUGGAUGUCAGGUUGAGAGAUGGAAACAUGUGCAGAGAUUGCAACUUCCUUUGGAGAGCCAUCUUGAUUUGGGGGAACAUUGAUAAAGACAUUAAGAGUAAGAUGGGGUGUGUAUGAGAUGCUAAGAAGUGAAGGUUCUGAUAAAGAUCGGCACCCUGAUUUGUGAGUGGCCCACAGGAAGCUCAGGAAGACCCAAAGACAUUGAGGACUGGUCGCCAGGAUCAAGACCCAUCCUGUGGCAGAAAUACCCACAGCAUUCCUGACAUGAGGAUAAGAAUUUACCCAAGCACACGGGCUGCCAUGGCUGUCACUGGACUAGGAUGCCAAGGUCCUCCAGGUAGGAGGGGGAUAUGCUUCUAUUCAUGUCUUUUUAUGUGUGUGUGGACAUGUGUGGUAUAUGAGUAUGUAUGUGCACACUCAUGUUAGGGCUUAAUGCGUGCAUCUGUGCAUAUCCCUGUGAAGGCCAGAGGUAUGUGUACCUUAUUUUUUGAGACAGGGUUUUCCACUGUACCCAGAACUCACUGAUUUAGCUAGAUGGACUGACUGGCGAGCUCCAGGGUGUCCUGUCUCUGCUUUCCCAGUGCUCGGAUUACAGAUGUGAGCCUGCAUCCCCAGCUUUUCACUUAGGUUCUAGGGGUCUAAAUUCAGGUCCUCAUGCAUAUAUGGCAUGUGCUUUAUCAACUGAGCCAUCUCUCCAGCUUUCUUCUCCAUAUCCUUUUUAUCCUUUUUUUAUCUUAAUCUUGAGAUAUAUUUUUCUGGAACUUAACAUUUCAUGAAAUCUGGUCUUGGUAGUGCAUGCCUGUAAUUCCAGAAAUUGCGAAGUUAGAGGCAGGAGGAUUAUGAAUUCAAAUCUACCCUGUGCUACACAGUAAGCCUGAGGCCAACCUUGAGAUGACUGUUAGGCAUAUAUAUAUAUAUAUAUGGAAUUAAAGGAAUAUAUCACCUUUAUAUUGGGUUAUACUGGGUUAUAAAGGGCAGAGGCAGUUUUUACCCUAGCAACUGAAUUGGAGUGUGAACCCUGAUCUCUGUGGAGAGAUUCCCCACAAAGAGUAAGGUCAUGAGAUUGAAAAAUAGCAAGUAUCACUCAUAAUUCCAUCACUUGGGAGGCUCAGGCAGGAUGAUUGCAAAUUCAAGGACAGCUUGGGUACAUAGCCAAACCUUGUCUUAAACACAAAACAAAACAACCCCCCCUCCCACCACCUCAUAAAAACCCACUACAUGUUGCUCAGUGGGAAUGCCAGGCACAAUUGGCCACAUCUGUGGUUCCACUUACAUAAUCUUUCUGAAGUAGAAGCAGCCCAGAGACAAGGAAGCAUGAUGGUGGAUGCAGGAGGAUGGGAAGAGUCUGCUGAUGCGGGUGGGGUUUAGUAGUGAUGGAACAGUUAGGGGUUCCGCAGGGGGUUGACUGCAAAAUACUGGACAUGUGCUGAACAUGGCUGAGCUGCUCCAAUGAUACCACAUGUGUUUCUACUCAAAUAAGGAUGAAGGGAGAUGAUGGCUCAGUUGGUAAAGUGCUUGCUUGCCUUGUGUGAAGUGCAGGGUUCAAACCCAUCACGGGUGCAUACCUGCAAUCCUAGCACUUGGGAAGUGGAUACAGGAUGGUCAAGAGUUCCCGGUCAUCCUCAGCUACCCAGUCAGCUCAAGGCCAGCCCGGGUUAUGUGGAAACUUGCUUCAGAAAAGAAAGUAAUAAAAGGAGGGGGUUGGAGGCUCAAGCCUCAGUCUGGAUGAGCUCACCUGCUGUCUAAGUGGUCUCUGAAUACCAUCAGGGCUUCACAGUCUCAGCAUUCACUCUGCUAUGUCUGCCUUGGAGAGUCAGGUUCCAGCCCACUUGAAAAGUGGCAUUUCCAGGGGUGAGGUCUCUGUGGGGACAGAGAUGCCACCUAAUAAUACUGCUCUGUUGUGGUACUCUGUGGUAAGCUUAGGUGUGAACUGACUGAGAACCUAUCAAGGCUACCUGCUAUCUUGAUGGAGGAGGCAUCACCUUUCCUCCCUGAGACUGUUUUAUUUAUGUGUCUCUCUCUUCUUGCUGGGGUAGGAGACAGCCCAGCUGCACCUUCCUGCUGUCCUGGGGAGAAUGUAAAGUCCUCUUCCACCUUCUCCGGCCAGUCCUAUCAUAGCUUCUGACAUGCUGACACCAUUGUUUCCAAGAAUACUGUAUGUCACCAGCCCUGUGCCCAGUCAUAGGACCAGAUUACAUCUGAGCCGGAUCUGCAGCCCUCAAUAAUCUCAGAUAAGAGGGUAGAGGCUACAGGGGAGAGUGGGAAAAACUAGGCCAGUUCAUUUCAAUAGAACCAAUGACCUAGAGGGCGAUGUACUCCUGGCGAUUUGGCAAAGAGGGGAUUCCUACACAGUCUCAGACAUGAGCUUAACACCUGAGAGAUGAAUCUACCCAAGCUUCAGACCCCGGCUCACCUGUGGCUAUAUCCUGAAUGAAACAGUUUGUUUGUUUGUUUGUUUGUUUGUUUGUUUUAUCACCUCAGUGUUUCAGAAGCUUC